UUAGAACACAGCAUCCGUUUGUUUAGAUGACUGGUGCCUUCUGGGAAAGAAAUUGACCAUUAUUCAUCUUUGUACCUUCUUCUCCAUCACCUAGCAAAUGCUUCGAACAUGGUGGGCUUCUGAAAGGUGCUUGUUGAGACACCAGCCAAUGGAUGAAUGCCCACCCUAAUUCAAGAUGACCUCAUCUUAACUUGAUUGUGUGUACAAAGACCCUGUUUCCAAACAAGGCCACAUUCACAGGUUCUUGGCUGAGACCUCCUGUAAUAAAAGACAGAUUAACUGGAGAAAAACAAAUUUAAUUAUGCACAUAUGCAGACGAACCCACAUUAGGUAGAGGAGAAGUCUUCCUCCCCUACCGGCUUCUCAGCUCCUGAGGAUUAGCAGCCAUCUUGGCAAGAAUUGGUACUGUGUGAGUGAGGAGGAGAGCCGGCUGUGAAGCCCAGGGUGGCUGCCCCACCCCCUCAGUGCCCAGGACCCCUGGGGUGAAGCCAGCUAAGGAUGGAGACUGGGAGCCUGUCAGGAGCAAGAGGAUUUUUCAGAAACUGGCCUGGGAGAUUUCCAGGGCAGGCCCUGGACACCAAUAUGAGGUCCAUUACUCAGCCAUUUACCCUCCUGAGGACUGUGCUUGAGAUCAUUUUCCAUCCUGAUGGCUACUGAGAGCAGUUCCCCAGGGAGUAACCAUUUUUGAGAGGCAACGUGGGUUAGCGGCAAGAGCCCACAAAGCGGGACUCACACCCUGGUUCUCCCACUUACGGGCUGAGAGACCUUGAGCAAUUCUCUGUCCCUCCCUGAGUCUCAGGGGCUCUGCUGUGAAAUAGAUGGAGCUCCCCACCAGCCAGAUGAGCCCAUCAAGAUGAGAUUGUGGGGGAGAAAUGCCCAUCAAAUUGGGUAUUGUUCAAGGAAGCAACAUCCAAAUGGGAGAGGGCAGAGGAAAGAUUCCUGCAUGAUUCACGGACUGACAACAAUUUCCUG
rnacentral:lncRNA from 1 species